UAGAAAGCUGGGGCUGGUGGUCAGAAGCCCAGGAGCUUUCUCUGACAGAGCUGCAGUUGGUCAGCUCAGCAUGAGGUGCUCAUGAUGGAGAACUUAUCUGGAAACUUUUGCCACUGGGAGUGGUGAGAGCCUUGUAAGUUUUUAGGUCUCAUUCUUAAAGGUGCACUGGUUUGGUAAGAGAAUGAAAAGCAGUGUUUGAGGAGCAAACCAACUGGCAAGACUUCUCUGACAUGAAGCAAAAGUUGCACUGUAUUUCAAACAUAUGUGCAACUAUUAUGUGUCAACAAAACCACAGAUACCUGCCUUGACUUCGCAGAUCUGGAGUGAAUAUAGUGAAGAUUUCCACUCUUGGGCAGAAGCUUAGAGACAAGAGGACAUAACCAGGUGUGUACAUCCUGCGAGAUGUGACCAAGAGAUACUCAAAUCCAGACCAAUCUGGAUGUGGUCCCAGUGACCCAGUCAUCACUAGCUUCGCUGUCACGGUGGAUGCUGUUUUCCAAGCUGGUGGGAACCUGUCAGUACAGCGCCUUAGCCUGCCCUGGGUUUCCAGAAGCUUCUGUAUCUGGGGCUAGAGUGGGUGAUCAGUGCGCAUUUCAGGCUGAGUUGGCAAUCUCAGCAAGCCAGCCUGUUCUUCCUGCCCAAACGCCAGGAUUUGUUUGCUAUCCCCGACUAGCCACAAACUCGCCCACAAAUUUCUCAGAGUCCCUUGAACUCAGAUUUCUGUCCACCCUGCCGUGGGCCACGCAGGAUGAAGGUCGGAUACGUGACUAAUUCCCAAACGCCAGGCGCAAUCCAGCAGCUGGGUUCCUGGUCCCCACUGGUGCAGAGGUCCCUGAGGGAAGGCGAAGGAGUUAUCGCCUCUGGGAACGACGACCUGGGAACAAUUUAGCAAUCUCUCGCGCCCUCUAGCGGCCUAAACUUGUCAUGUCCGCACCAAAAGAUGACACAGUUCUUCAUGGAAGCCAGCCAACAUCAUUGAUCUCUUCUGCACCCUACCUGAGAGAGAUUAUUUACGUGUUAAAAAGAGAGAGAGAGAAAAAAAGAAGGCAAAUCCCCAGUCGUGGAAUUCCCUAGGAGAGGAAUUUCUGGCUCAAUCGCAGCCGGUGCUACAUGGGACCUUGCUGUGACCUCAGUAACCAUGGCCAGAGACUGGUGGGCUGAGCCUUGAUCCAGCUGCUGGCUGUCCUGGGAGGUCUCCAGCUACUUCCUGGAAGCAGCAGAAACAGUAGCAUGUUUGUAGAGCACUGCAAUACCAUGAACUUCCCACUUUCUGGGAAAGGUGGGAUUACUGUGAGCAACGGCAAAGACCUGACUCUUCAGUCUCCUUUCACUACCAGGAGGGAACUAGUACAGGGGAAGGAGACUCUGUAUGGCUCCAGGCACAGUGGAGCAAGGCUGUCACCCACUGGAAGAGAAGGACAGUCUGAAAGCUGGGACCUGGAGAUACCACUGCUCUCUUUUGUGCCCAGGUCUUGUGUGGGUCGCGUCAGCUCCUGUGACGUCAUGAAUACAACGAAGACAGCAUCCGAAAGCACUUCCUUUGGCUCUUACAUUCCUUCCGUCACCUCGUCUGCAAUGGUCCCCGAUCCUUGGAGGGUGUCAUAGAGAUGUCUCAGUGCUGAACUCUCCACUCUCACUUCUCAGCACUGUGAUGAGUUUAGAAUUUUCCCAGUGGUCGCCUCCGUCUGAAAAGGGAAGUUUCUCUAACAGAAAGUGAGAGUGGCAUUAAUAUAUGGGUAUAGACAUAAAUAUUUAGAGGGCAUUCUUUUGGGCAUAAUAUAUCCAUUUAGCCAAAUAAUAGUAGUAGCUCUUCCUUUGGACUUUUGACCUGCAUAACCAUAGGGUUUUAACUAGGUUUGAAGCACCUGGUAGGAACUUCCCUGGUAGUGCAGGCCUCAAUUCCAAUCAGAGAGUUUCUCCUAUAGCAGAUGUGCCACCAUUGUGCCAGCUGGGACACUUUUGCUGGCUGGCCAGCUGGUGAGCUUGCAGGGACCACAGCUCAUUAUACCCGUUGGUGCUGAAUCCUUUCUUUGAAUCAGUCAUGUAACUUGGCACCCCUGAAUUCCUCCAGGGAGAUCAGCAUUUCUUAUUCUAAACUUCCCUGGUAGUAUCCUGUGGCAGCAUUGACUUCAGCCCCAUCAUUCAUAGUUGUCAUGUUCUAGAAAGUUCCCACAAACACAGAAUUAACAGAACUCCCAGAGGAGAUAGAGAGUUCGGUUUCUGCCAGUCUCUGGUCACAUCUUAUUCCACCAUCAAUGCAUGUUGCGGGACCUUCUGUUGAAGAGGCCUCAAGUCACACACAAUAUUAUGCCAUUAACAUCAAACUCACGGCCAAUAGCACUGUAACCCACACUGAAGCAAAGUGCAUUUGAUACCCAGACACUAGGCAGCACUUUGACACCACGCUUGGGACUAUUUUACUGAUCAAUACACCCAAUACAAUUAAAAUGAAAGUGAACCUAACAAGACUGU